rnacentral:lncRNA from 1 species
UGGGGAGCCCGGCGCUGGGCGUAAUUAGCGUCUCCUCCCUCCCUCUCAGGCUGCGGGCCUCACUUUCAUCUGGAGGACAGGCAGGGCUGCUGGCUCUCAUGGCUCCUCCCAGGCCCCACGUGGUGUUCUGUGUUGAGCCCAUGUCACCGCCCGCUCUCUGCUCACUGGCCAGCCCUGCCCCCGGAUGGUCCACUCCCCAGGGCCAGGACGGAUCUGCUCAGGAUCUGGCAGUGACUGAGUGGUCACCAUUGGAUGGAUGGCGAAACUGAGGUCCAGAGGAGACAGUGGGGCUCGAAGGCUGCAGCGAGCCAGGGCUGGCGUCUGCUCCAGGGCUUUCUCCAGGAGACCCUUCUGUGAAGAGGACAGAGAUCACGUGGGGGUCACUCUGACCAGGACAGUGUGCGGUGUGACCAGCAGUGGCCCAGCCCUGCAAGGCCCGAGAUGGUGUCCCAGGCUCAGGCUGUGCAGUCGCAGUCGGGGCCUGGAGGCACCAGGCCUUGCAGGCCACUGCAGACCAAGGCACAGAGCUCAAGUUUCUACCCCCAGCUCCCAGCCCUGCACACGCACCAUGCCGGGCAGGCAAGCUCAUGGUCACCCAGCUCAGGGACUCCACUCACCGGGGGCUUGAGCAGAGGAAGGGCCUGGGCCAGCUGAGAGGCCAGGCCCACCCACCCACUGAUCUCGCCUCUCUAGUCCCAGCAGCUCCCCGGAAAGCCCUCGAUACUCACAAGUCAGGGUGGUAGAUUCAGCUGGAGGAAGCAGGAAUGCAGGGCCGUCAGCGUCAUGUCUCCCUCCUCCUAGCUGCCAGCCAGCCCUCAGACCUCACCCAGCCCCAGCCCUCCCGGACAGUGGCAGAGAGCUCUCAUCCACUCUCUGUAGACAAAAAAUGAGUAAAUGUCAGAACUGACAAAGAGAAAGACGGAGGGUCACGCCGGGGAAGGGAGCUGAGAGACUGGCCCCGAUCAUGCUGCCCCACCCAUGAAAGGGUCACAAUCACCCACAAACAUAGGGCAGAUGCGACAUGACACCUGGGGAGGGUGCCAGCAAGCACCAAGGUGAGUCCAUGACCAGAUGCAUCCAGGACCCUCCAGGAUCUAAGGGGUGACGCCAAGCACCCCCAGGACGGCCAUCGGGAGGGCUGGACAAGCCGGCGCUGGGCCGCCUGAUGCAAAUGAGACCCUUAACAGUCGGGCUGGGUGCCAAGCUGCUUGGCAUUCACCAGGCUGUCGCCAGCACGGCUCCAUGCUGGCGGAGGAACUGCCCGGCUUAGCCCAGAGACUCGUGAAGGGCCAGCAGCAGCUCCCCACAGCUCAAGCACAGCAGGAAGAGGACACGGAAGUGCUCCCCAUAAAACCCCACACCUGCCAUGCUUCUGUCUGAAACCACACACGUGCUGCCCGCUGGGUGA